rnacentral:tRNA from 1 species
GUAGAAGAAGUCUCUCGGAGACGGUGUAGUGUAAAUACACAGGUGGUUUUUUCCCUUCUAUA